CAAUCCGAAGACGUGAUGCGGACCGAAUUAAGAGUAGGGAAGUGUGUGAGCCAUGCGUCAAGAAAAGCCGCUAUUGUUUUACUUAAGCCCGUACCGUAAACCGACACAGGUGGAUGAGGAGAGAAUCCUAAGGCCGACGGGAGAAGCAUUGUUAAGGAACUCGGCAAAAUGACUCCGUAACUUCGGGAGAAGGAGUGCCAGCGAGAGCUGGCCGCAGAGAAUUGGCCCAAGCAACUGUUUAGCAAAAACACAGGUCUAUGCAAAACCGUAAGGUGAAGUAUAUGGGCUGACGCCUGCCCGGUGCUGGAAGGUUAAGAGGAGAGGUUAGCGGUAACGCGAAGCUUUGAAUUUAAGCCCCAGUAAACGGCGGCCGUAACUAUAACGGUCCUAAGGUAGCGAAAUUCCUUGUCGGGUAAGUUCCGACCCGCACGAAAGGCGUAAUGAUUUGGGCACUGUCUCAACAAUGCACCCGGUGAAAUUGAAAUACCAGUGAAGAUGCUGGUUACCUGCGCCAGGACGGAAAGACCCCAUGGAGCUUUACUCCAGCUUGAUACUGGGAUUCGGUAUUGCAUGUACAGGAUAGGUGGGAGGCUAGGAAGUGAUAACGCCAGUUGUCACGGAGCCGCUGUUGGGAUACCACCCUUGCAGUAUUGGAUUUCUAACCAGCGACCAUGAACUGGUCGGGGGACAAUGUCAGGUGGGGAGUUUGACUGGGGCGGUCGCCUCCGAAAGGGUAUCGGAGGCGCUCAAAGGUUCCCUCAGAAUGGACGGAAACCAUUCGAAGAGUGCAAAGGCAGAAGGGAGCUUGACUGCGACACCGACGGGUGGAGCAGGUACGAAAGUAGGACUUAGUGAUCCGGUGGUAUAAAGUGGGAUUGCCAUCGCUCAACGGAUAAAAGCUACCCUGGGGAUAACAGGCUUAUCACUCCCAAGAGUUCACAUCGACGGAGUGGUUUGGCACCUCGAUGUCGGCUCAUCGCAUCCUGGGGCUGAAGUAGGUCCCAAGGGUUGGGCUGUUCGCCCAUUAAAGCGGUACGCGAGCUGGGUUCAGAACGUCGUGAGACAGUUCGGUCCCUAUCCGGCGUGGGCGUAGGAUAUUUGAGAGGAGCUGUCCUUAGUACGAGAGGACCGGGAUGGACUGGCCGCUGGUGUAUCUGUUGCAUACCAAAUGCAUGGCAGAGUAGCCAAGCCGGGACGGGAUAAACGCUGAAGGCAUCUAAGCGUGAAGCCCCCCUCAAGAUGAGAUAUCCCUACGUAAGUAGUAAGACCCCUUGAAGACGACGAGGUAGAUAGGUCAGAGGUGGAAGU
rnacentral:rRNA from 1 species